rnacentral:rRNA from 1 species
GAAGUAAAAGUCGUAACAAGGUCUCCGUUGGUGAACCAGCGGAGGGAUCAUUAAUAGAGUUCUAUUCUCUCUAUUCACCCAUCGCGAUAUGCUGACCUGCCUGUUGCUUCGGCGGGCGCCCCCCCCGGGGAGCCCGCCGGACGACCGAAACCCUAGCGUAGCAGAAGCUCUGAGGAUACCCAAAUGAGUCAAAACUUUCAACAACGGAUCUCUUGGUUCUGGCAUCGAUGAAGAACGCAGCGAAAUGCGAUACGUAAUGUGAAUUGCAGAACUCAGCGAAUCAUCGAAUCUUUGAACGCACAUUGCGCCCGCCGGCAUUCCGGCGGGCAUGCCUGUUCGAGCGUCAUUUCAACCCUCGCGCCCCGCGCGGUGAUGGGGCCCCGCGGCUGCCGCGGGCCCUGAAAAUUAGUGGCGGUCGCGCCUGGACCCGCAGCGUAGUACUUUUGCAACCGCUCGCGGGCCCCGGUGCGUGCCGGCCGUGAAACACCCCCAAAGGUGA